UUCGUUUCGGCAGUUCAGAAUCGAUUCUUUCUUAACUUUAUUUGUCGUGUGUUUUGAUCUUUAAAACUUUGCCGACCUUUUUACAUUCACAAACCGCUAUAUUACACACCUCUUGAAAGGUAAUAUUCGAUAUAGGGGCAUUUUAAAAAUGGGAAUGAAACAAAGUUCAGUACAGUAAUUUUAACAACGUUAAAGUGAUGAUGAAACCUUAUCAAUCAACUGAACUGUGCAUGUAUGUUUUAAACGCUUAGCCCACCUUAUGUUCUUACACUGAUUUAAAUCCACACCCUUGAAAAGAGCGCAUUUUUCUAGUGUAUUUACUUUAACUUCAGGUCGUUUCAAUGAUGUGACCCAUUUUAGAUAUGUCUAAAAUUCCAACAAUGGGAUGGUUACAUGUAAAUUUGAAUUGUUUGAUCAAAAUUAUUGCUAGGGACAUUUCUUGCUGGAUAUUGGUAGUCCCUUGUUUGGCAUUAAUAAAACACACCUGCCCAGGUGACUGAAGUGAACUCUCAUCUCAGUUUACAGAUCUGACAGCAUUAUUGGCUGGAACGAGAUUUACACACACUGUGUUUCUCUGUCGCAUGCACGACCACAGCUGCAGCUGCAUCACCAUGGAGAUGCAGUUAGCCAAUGACAGGCGGCAAUUUUCCCUCCAGGGACCCUGCUGAUUCGGGCUGGGGGGAGCAUGGGGGCGUAAACAGGAAGAAAAAACAAGAGAUGCAGAUGGUUUUACCUCCAGGUCAACAGGGGGAAGUGUGGAGCCACAUCCCUGAGAUGUUUUAUUGAAGACCGGACUUGAGUGGAGAGGCAGAAAAGACAAGGAGAAUGUGACAGCUCGAAGUAUCAUGAUCCAAGCACCAAAUUGUGGAUGACUUUCAGGAAGACUGUUGACAGAAAGAGUCUGAUUUCCCUCCAGGGACUGUAACAGACAGGUGGGGUCAGUGGGGGUCUGGCCUUUGAUUGGCUGUUGCCGUAGGAACCAUAGGAGAGCUGCCAUUCUGGCUCAUUCUUCCAGUUCCUUCAGGUCAUUGCCAUGGCAACCCAGAGAGAGAUUCCAUGAUGAUGACACACACAUCAACAGAAUCAAGGAAUCUGAUCUGCUAGGUAACAGUUGAUAAUUAACACAUGAUUAUAUAAAUAUAUAAUUAAACACGUGAAGUUACCUUGCAUUUUGUAGGUUGAUACGUGUUAAAGGGAUA